UUCAUCUGCGCGCUUAAUUCUCGUAAGAGAAGCGGGGGACCCACGAACUGGGGUGAAUCGGAAUGUUUUUUUCCGUAGGGGCCUCUCAAAUCCGAACCCGGCAGCUAACCUCGCAAGCGUCAUUGGGAGAAAAG
rfam:Paenibacillus sp. HGF7 contig00018, whole genome shotgun sequence.